rnacentral:sRNA from 1 species
GCAAGCAGUGGUGUAUAAACGAAAUGAA